rnacentral:rRNA from 1 species
CAGUUCGAAGACUCCACGCUGCGGUCACGUACAGACCUUAAAACGGUGAAACCGCGAAUGGCUCAUUAAAUCAGCUAUGGUUCCUUAGAUCGUACAUGCUACAUGGAUAACUGUAGUAAUUCUAGAGCUAAUACAUGCCACUAUGCCCUGACCCGCAAGGGAACGGGUGGAUUUAUUAGAACAGAACCAACCGGGGAGGGCUUCGGUCGUUCCUGUUGAACUCUGUGAUGACUCUGGAUAACUUUACUGAUCGCAGUCGGCCUUGUGUCGGCGACGGAUCUUUCAAAUGUCUGCCCUAUCAACUUUCGAUGGUAGGUGAACCUGCAGAAGGAUCAA